UCGGACGUGGUGUAGCGUUGCACGGCCUCGUCAAAUGUACAAAUAAUAGAGUUUUGAGGCAGUCCCAGGUUCGAUUCCUGGCGUCCGAG